rnacentral:rRNA from 1 species
GACGAACGCUGGCGGCGUGCUUAACACAUGCAAGUCGAACGGAAAGGCCCUGCUUUUGUGGGGUGCUCGAGUGGCGAACGGGUGAGUAACACGUGAGUAACCUGCCCUUGACUUUGGGAUAACUUCAGGAAACUGGGGCUAAUACCGGAUAGGAGCUCCUGCUGCAUGGUGGGGGGUGGAAAGUUUCGGCGGUUGGGGAUGGACUCGCGGCUUAUCAGCUUGUUGGUGGGGUAGUGGCUUACCAAGGCUUUGACGGGUAGCCGGCCUGAGAGGGUGACCGGCCACCUUGGGACUGAGAUACGGCCCAGACUCCUACGGGAGGCAGCAGUGGGGAAUAUUGCACAAUGGGCGGAAGCCUGAUGCAGCAACGCCGCGUGCGGGAUGACGGCCUUCGGGUUGUAAACCGCUUUCGCCUGUGACGAAGCGUGAGUGACGGUAAUGGGUAAAGAAGCACCGGCUAACUACGUG